AUUUGACUGAUGAGUCUCAAAUAGGACGAAAGACGCACAUGUCUUAGAU
rnacentral:hammerhead_ribozyme from 1 species